GGACUGGAAAGGGGCCCGGGGGUCACUCACCGCCUAUCCAGGGGCCGUCGGUCCGCAUGUCCCCCCCAAGCCGCUGGGGCCGCUGCUCCUGCUCCUCUUCUGCCGCCGCCGCCGCCACCGAAUCCCACUCCCGCCACAGCCACCCGAGCUGGAGCCGGAGCCGGAGCCGGAGCCGCCGCCUCUGCCGCCGCCGCCACCGCUCCCGUCGCUCCCGCGCCAGCUCCAGCCGCGCGCCCGCGCCCGCGCCCCUGCCCCUGCCGUGCGCGUCCCCGGCGCCGCCCCUCCCCUCGUGCACUCUCGCUCGUAGAGCUGCUGAGACGCGUAGGCCCGACGAGGCCUCAGCCCAACCCCGAGCCUAAGCCGACGCGGGCUCCAGUACCGAGCCGGAACCCCAAAAUGAGCAUGGACAGACCCAAACUCCCAUACGAAGUCCGGAUCCAGUUAGAGGCUCCCAAUCCAAAUAUGAACCUGAUACUACUCUAGGACCCCAUUCCCUCGAUGUGAACCUGAUACCGAGACCAGACCCACCCCCAAACUCAAUAUCCUAACUCAGGAACUUGGUAAGCUCCAAACCAAGACCCACACCUUGGCACCAAAGCCUCCGGCCCCAGACGUAUCGUCCAGUCUGUGCCACACCAGCUGUCUCCUGCCUGCCCACCUCAUGAAAGACGGGGUACAUACCCCUACUGCUCUAGUGUGGGCCUUUCUUCUGAGCUCAGGACCCAUAUAUCCAAGAGUCUUCUCUAGAUCACUCCCCGGAUGUUCGUCAGUCCGUCAGAAAGAACUCAGAUGCCAGCACCGCAAAACAGUCUGUGUACCAUCUCAGGUGUGGAGUGGGAGGAAAAAGGCCCAGACCCUAGAAUGCUAAUGCCUUUCACUCCUUCCUGGGCCCUGGUCCAGGAAGAUCCCACAUGCCGCAAAGCAACUCAGCCCAUGCACCACAACUACUGAGCCUGCGCUCUAGAGCCCACAGUGCCACAGCUACUGAAGCCCGUGCACCUAGAGCCCGUGCUCCUCAACAAGAGAAGCCACUGCAAUGAUAAGUCCGUGCACCACAACGAGGAGUAGCCCCCACUCGCCACAACUAGGGAGAAGCCCGCGCACAGCAACGAAGACCCAAU